rnacentral:rRNA from 1 species
GAUGAGCAUGCGUCCCAUUAGCUUGUUGGUAAGGUAACGGCUUACCAAGGCAACGAUGGGUAGGGGUCCUGAGAGGGAGAUCCCCCACACUGGUACUGAGACACGGACCAGACUCCUACGGGAGGCAGCAGUGAGGAAUAUUGGUCAAUGGGCGCAAGCCUGAACCAGCCAUGCCGCGUGCAGGAUGAAGCAUCUAUGGUGUGUAAACUGCUUUUGUACGAGAAGAAACACUCCUUCGUGAAGGAGCUUGACGGUAUCGUAAGAAUAAGGACCGGCUAACUCCGUGCCAGCAGCCGCGGUAAUACGGAGGGUCCAAGCGUUAUCCGGAAUCAUUGGGUUUAAAAGGUCCGUAGGCGGUUUUGUAAGUCAGUGGUGAAAGCCCAUCGCUCAACGGUGGAACGGCCAUUGAUACUGCAAGACUUGAAUUAUUGGGAAGUAACUAGAAUAUGUAGUGUAGCGGUGAAAUGCUUAGAGAUUACAUGGAAUACCAAUUGCGAAGGCAGGUUACUACCAAUAUAUUGACGCUGAUGGA